rnacentral:rRNA from 1 species
AAAUUGAAGAGUUUGAUCAUGGCUCAGAUUGAACGCUGGCGGCAGGCCUAACACAUGCAAGUCGAGCGGAAACGAGUUAUCUGAACCUUCGGGGGACGAUAACGGCGUCGAGCGGCGGACGGGUGAGUAAUGCCUAGGAAAUUGCCCUGAUGUGGGG